UAUCCUCACACAAGAAAAGAAUAAAGAAAUAAAUAUAAAGGAAAAUUGCGGAGAAGGCGGAAAGACGGUGGAAAGAACUCAGUAGUAAGUCUUGGAGAGCAAGUGAUUCCGUUCUCAAUCUAGUCGGAACCCUAGUUUCCUCCGUCAAGAUUACUAUGGAAAUCGAUUCUGCCGAGUAUCAGUUAAGGUGUCAGCUUGCAGGUCACGAAGACGAUGUCCGGGGUAUAUGUAUCUGUGACAAGGUUGGUUUUGCAACCUCAUCUAGAGACAGAACCAUUCGGUUUUGGUCUCCAGAUGAAUCUAAUCACCGCAAGUUUACUACGUCAAAGAUACUGCUAGGGCAUACAAGUUUUGUUGGCCCACUGGCUUGGGUUGCUCCCAGUGAGGAGUUACCUGAGGGAGGACUUGUAUCUGGUGGCAUGGACACUCUUAUCUUGGUGUGGAAUUUGUCUACUGGAGAGAAAAUUCAGACACUUAAGGGUCAUAAGUUGCAAGUUACAGGUAUUGCUUUGGAUGGCUCAGACGUUGUAUCAACAUCUGUUGAUUGUACAUUAAGACGAUGGAGGAAGGGCCAAGAGGUUGAAGUUUUGGAAGCUCAUAAAGCAGCAAUCCAAGCAAUUAUUAAAUUUCCCUCAGGCGAGCUUGUUACAGGCUCAAGUGACACAACACUGAAGCUUUGGAAGGGAGCAGCAUGUAUACACACUUUUUCUGGGCAUACAGACACUGUUCGGGGCCUUGCCGCGGUGCCUGGUCUAGGAAUUCUUUCUGCAUCCCAUGAUGGUACCAUAAGGCUGUGGGAACUUAGUGGUCAAGUUUUACUGGAGAUGGUUGGUCACACUUCUAUUGUCUAUUCUGUUGAUGCUCAUGCCUCUGGGCUUAUUGUCAGUGGCAGUGAGGAUCGUUUUGUGAAGAUCUGGAAAGAUGGAGUCUGUGUCCAAAGCCUAGAGCAUCCCGGCUGUGUUUGGGAUGCCAAGUUCUUAGACAACGGCGACAUUGUGACCGCAUGCUCUGAUGGUGUGGUGCGCAUUUGGACUGUCCAUCAGGAUAAGAUUGCUGACCCGCUAGAACUAGAGUCAUAUGCUGCCCAACUCUCACAGUACACGCUCAGUAGGAAAAGAGUUGGAGGGUUGAAAUUGGAAGAGCUUCCUGGGCUUGAGGCCUUACAAACCCCAGGUACUAGUGAUGGACAGACCAAAGUUGUCCGUGAAGGAGACAAUGGAGUGGCGUAUGCAUGGAAUAUGAUGGAGCAAAAGUGGGAUAAAAUUGGUGAAGUGGUUGACGGCCCCGAUGAUGGCAUGUCACGCCCUCUUCUUGAUGGAAUCCAAUAUGAUCAUGUGUUCGAUGUUGAUAUUGGAGAUGGUGAACCUGUUCGCAAAUUGCCCUGCAAUCGCUCAGAUAAUCCAUAUGACGUUGCUGACAAGUGGCUACUCAAAGAGAAUCUGCCUCUUUCUUACCGUGAACAAAUUGUGGAGUUCAUUCUUCAAAAUACUGGUCAGAAACAGUUUACUCCGGAUCCAUCAUUCCAUGACCCCUACACUGGCAGUAGCGCUUAUACACCUGGUCAACCUUCAAAGCCAGUUGCAACAAAACCUACUUUUAAGCAUGUCCCCAAGAAAGGAAUGCUUGUCUUUGAUGCAGCACAAUUUGAUGGUAUCCUCAAGAAAGUUUCAGAGUUCAAUAAUACUUUACUAUCUGCCUCAGAGCAAAAACAUAUGGUAUUGACUGAAGCUGAUAUGUCCAGACUGGCUUCUAUCAUUCAUGUUUUGAAGGACACAUCACGCUACCAUAGCAGUAAAUUCUCAGACGAUGAUGUUGUAAUGGUGCUGAAGGUUCUAAAAUCUUGGCCACUGACGAUGUUAUUUCCAGUAAUCGAUAUUUUGAGGAUGAUCAUACUACACGCUGAUGGUGCUGCUGUACUUUCCAAGCAUGUCAACAAUGCGAAUGAUGUGCUUAUGGAGUUGAUCAAGAAGGUUACAACCAGUCCUCCACUUCCUGCAAAUCUUCUGACAAGUGUUCAUGCUUUGACCAACUUCUUUAAGAAUGAAUCCUAUCAUGAUUGGCUGUUAAAGCAUCGUGGGGAGGUUCUGGAUGCCUAUUCCACUUGUUACUUGUCUUCCAAUAAAAAUGUUCAGUUGGCUUAUUCAACAUUGAUACUCAAGUAUACUACAUCAAAGUGUAGUCCCCCUCCAAAAAGUUUUACUUACAUCAUUCCUAGGAUCUUCUAGUUACAACCAGUCAAUAAUAAACACAUUUUCAGCAUCUCCUAUCACUACUUGCUUACACCAAAAAUAAUAAAGCCCUAGGCAAUUAGUCUUUAUCUUCUGGAUAUUGUUCUGUUUUCCUUCAAAGCAUCUUUGAUUCCUUUCCUUCCAAAUUGUCCACCAAAUGCAAGCUGGGACAAUCCUCCAUCUCUUCUCAUUUUUUCCUGCAUUUCCAUCCCUGUUCCAGCAUUGUAGGACUUCUAUAAUACUCCCAGGCUUUGUCCACUUAAUCUUCCUCUUUUGGAUAAACAUCUGCCACAAUUGAUCAGUCCAUUUGCAGUGUAAAAAGAGAUGGUUGACUGUCUCCACCUGUUCUUCACAUAGAUAGCAACUAGAGCGUAGAUUGGGUUUCCUCUUGUUUAAGUUCUCAUGUGUCAAGACUGCCUGCUUUGCCAAGAGCCAUGUGAAGUAAUUCACCUUGUAGGGAAUUUCUGUUCUCCAGAUCAUCCUCCAGGGCCAUCCUGCAUGCUGCUCCUCCGUAGACCUGAGUUCUCUGUAUGCUGAUUUUACAGUGAACUCUCCCCCUCUCUCCCCCUUCCAUACUAGUCUAUCUUCCUCUCCUGUCAGAUUGGUAGCCAUUUGCAUUGUAUCAUGAAAUCUUGCUAUGGUUGUCAUCUCCCAAUCAUUUAGUCCCCUUCUUAGAAACAGGUUCCACCCUUGUCCUGUCCAUAACUCUGCCACUGUUGCUUCUUGUCCUUGGCUCAGACUAUGUAGUACAGGGAAAGUAUGUUUGAGUGCUUCCUGUCCACACCAAAUGUCAUUCCAAAAAGCUACUUUUUCUCCAUUGCCCACCUUGCAGCUUGUUCUCUCUUUGACCAGCUGCCAUAGGUUCCUGAUAGACCUCCAUACACUACAAUUGUAAGGGUUGGUGAUCACCUCUGUCAUCCAUUUAUCCUCCAUGCCAUAUUUUUCUAUUAUUACUUCCUUCCAUAGAGAUACUUCUGGUGAGACAAAUUUCCACAACCAUUUCAUCAUCAAACUCUUGUUUUGGGUUUUCAGCUCUCUGAUAUUGAGUCCACUCCCUCUCUUACUUACCAGUAGUUCCUCCCAUAAUGUCUGUCCAAGUUUUAAUAACCAUCCAUGACAAAUAUUCUGUAUCCUUGAGGAUAUUCAUGCGUAUUUAUUGUGUUAGAUUAGUUUUACACUUAAAAAUCCAAGUCUCUCCCUUCAAUGUGAACUUAUAGAAUUCUCUAUUUUUUUUUAUAGUUAAAGUAAACUAAUUCAUUAAAAGAAGGGCAAAAGCGCUCCUGUAUACAAAAAGUAUACCAAUCUUUGAUUCAACUAGGAACCUCAUGGGUGCACCAAAAGGAAAUAAGGGAAAAAGAGUAUUUCUCAAGUGAACAAAAUCUUUCUCAACUCUAUCAAAAGCUCUUGUAUUCCGCUCUCUCUCCAUAUGGUCCACAUUAGUAUGGAGCAACAUUCCAUGCGCUGCUGCGUCUUCUCUUUCUUCUUCUAAAGGUUCAGCUAAACAUUGGUUCUUUCACAGUGCCUUGCAUCACCCACUCAAUUCCAAACCAUCUCAGAAUUUCCCCCACAAACAAGACGCUACCCAGAAAUAUAGAAUUUAGUUCUUUCGACUUUGUUGUGCAUUUAUCUCAUCCCUGUUUCUGUUUGUUGUCUACAUUUAUAUAUUAAGAUCAGCUUCUUCUUUUUUCUGCUUGACCCCAUGGAAGUGUAGUCAGAGUUAAUUAGGUAAAAAUUUCUCUGAGAAAAAGGAGCUUAUUCUGUAAAUUCAUCCCUUUUUUUUUUGGUAAUAACUGUGAAAUAUUACCUUAGACAAAAAACAAACAGAUAACACCCCAUUCCUUGACUUCUUUCUAGGAAGGCUAUCACACAUGUGAGGCCUCAAAAAAACAAAUCGGUUACAUAUUUUGUCAAUGAAAACCCACAUUUCUUAGUUCUUUUUGAUGUUCUGUACAUGUCAAUUCUUUCUCUAAGUUCUAGUUGUAUUUGUUGUAUGAUAGUAUCCCUUUGCACAGUAUGUGGUCCCAUUACAUCUUCCAAUUUCUAGCUAUCCAAGUAUGGACUAAAGCUCCCAGUUCAGCAGCUACAAUAUCUUUCUUCAUUCUCCUUGAAUGCUUGCUCUUUAGUUUGAGUUGAGAUAUUACAACAUCAUGCUGUUGUAGAGCCAACCCAAACCAUCUAGUGAGUCGUCCCUUAAUGCAGUAGUCCAAUCACUUUCAAGCAAACAGGUGAUGAGCAGAUUCCAUGGUAUCAGUCACAUAAGCAGCAGCUAUGCUGUACUCUUGAUUGAAAAGAAGGAUGAAGAGGGACAGUCUCAAGUUCUUUCGGCUGCACUUGAGGUU